UUAUAAUUAUCAUUAUUUGAUGAUUGGCGAUAGAUCAUUCAAGUUUCUGACCUAUCAGCUUUCGACGGUAGUGUAUUGGACUACCGUGGCAGUGACGGGUAACGGGGAAUUAGGGUUCGAUUCCGGAGAGGGAGCCUGAGAAACGGCUACCACAUCUAAGGAAGGCAGCAGGCGCGCAAAUUACCCAAUCCUGACUCAGGGAGGUAGUGACAAGAAAUAACAACACUGGAAAUUUGAUUUCUAGUGAUUGGAAUGAUGGGAAUCCAAACCCCUUUCAGAGUAACAAUUGGAGGGCAAGUCUGGUGCCAGCAGCCGCGGUAAUUCCAGCUCCAAUAGCGUAUAUUAAAGUUGUUGCAGUUAAAAAGCUCGUAGUUGGAUGUCUGUUGGAAGCAAUCAUCAGUCCGCCCUAUUUGAUUAGGGUGUGAAUAUGAUGAAUUCCGGCAUAAUUGUCUCCCUAUUGUUAAUAUUCUGAUUGUUAGAUUCAUUUCUAACAAUAAUACGAUUAUUAAUAAUAAGGGGGAAAUGUUACUUUGAGAAAAUUAGAGUGUUUGAAGCAGGCUUUUGUUGCCUUGAAUACUGCAGCAUGGAAUAACAAUAUAGGAUUUCGGUUCUAUUUUGUUGGUUCUUUUUUUAGGACUGAAAUAAUGAUUAAUAGGGACAGUUGGGGGCAUUCGUAUUUAACUGUCAGAGGUGAAAUUCUUAGAUUUGUUAAAGACGAACUACUGCGAAAGCAUUUGCCAAAGAUGUUUUCAUUAAUCAAGAACGAAAGUUAGGGGCUCGAAGACGAUCAGAUACCGUCGUAGUCUUAACCAUAAACUAUGCCGACUAGAGAUA
rnacentral:rRNA from 1 species